rnacentral:rRNA from 1 species
UACGGGGGGGGCAAGCGUUGUUCGGAAUUACUGGGCGUAAAGGGCUCGUAGGCGGCCAACUAAGUCAGACGUGAAAUCCCUCGGCUUAACCGGGGAACUGCGUCUGAUACUGGAUGGCUUGAGUGUGGGAGAGGGAUGCGGAAUUCCAGGUGUAGCGGUGAAAUGCGUAGAUAUCUGGAGGAACACCGGUGGCGAAGGCGGCAUCCUGGACUACUACUGACGCUGAGUGAGCGAAAGCCAGGGGAGCAAACGGG